UACAUAUAUGUCGACAUUUCUCUCCUCUUUUUCUCUGACACUGCCCAUCUCUCUCUUUAUUGACAACCACCCUUUACUCUUUCUUUAGUUAUUCUUAAUUUUAAUUUAUUUUUAAUUGUUUUUAAUCAUUUUGUUAAAGAAAAAUUAUUGGGAUGCUUGUAGGUCCGGAGUCCAAACUCGGAUGAUGAUUUUACUCGUUUACUGAUGGGGUUGCCGGAAGUGGUGGUGGAGAUCGGUGGCUGGAAGUAGUAGUGAUCGAUCAUCAUUUUUCCACCCACCGUCGUUUUUUCGGUCAUCAUCACAGCACCACCAUCUCCGAUCACCUUUUGUAAGUUCCAUCAAGCUCGAUCAAGGAUGACCCGGAUGGACCGGGUUUACACGUGAGUGAUGUACUAUUUCCAUUCAUUUCAUAGCUCGAUCAAGGAUGGCCCAGAUAGUCAAUACUACAGUAAUUAGUUUUGUGAUUUUUUCGACGCCACUUGCACUGAUCUGUGAGAUUCAAGCAAUCAUCUCUGUUUGUAUAUA